GCCACAUGCCAGGGGCAGUAUAGGUAGGAAGACACAGAAGUAUGUCUCCUGAAACCAAGGAUAUUGCUGCUUUUACAACAGAACAUUGGAAACAAUCUCAAAGUCUAACAGUGAGAGAGAGAGAGACAGCCAGCGAGAAAGGGAUCACAAG